rnacentral:rRNA from 1 species
AGUGAACGCUGGCGGUAGGCCUAACACAUGCAAGUCGAACGGCAGCACAGUAAGAGCCUGCUCUUACGGGUGGCGAGUGGCGGACGGGUGAGGAAUACAUCGGAAUCUACUUUUUCGUGGGGGAUAACGUAGGGAAACUUACGCUAAUACCGCAUACGACCUACGGGUGAAAGCAGGGGAUCUUCGGACCUUGCGCGAUUGAAUGAGCCGAUGUCGGAUUAGCUAGUUGGCGGGGUAAAGGCCCACCAAGGCGACGAUCCGUAGCUGGUCUGAGAGGAUGAUCAGCCACACUGGAACUGAGACACGGUCCAGACUCCUACGGGAGGCAGCAGUGGGGAAUAUUGGACAAUGGGCGCAAGCCUGAUCCAGCCAUACCGCGUGGGUGAAGAAGGCCUUCGGGUUGUAAAGCCCUUUUGUUGGGAAAGAAAAGCAGCAGGUUAAUACCCCGCUGUUCUGACGGUACCCAAAGAGUAAGCACCGGCUAACUUCGUG